ACCUUUUGGUGUAUACGGUUCAAGUUGGUGACCUGAUGACGGGGGAGCCAUUGAUCGAAGUCCCGGUGAACGGUGGCCAUAACUAUAACGGUCCUAAAGUAGCGAAUUUUCUUAUCGGGUAAGUUCUAUCUGGAUGAAAGGU
rnacentral:rRNA from 1 species